rnacentral:piRNA from 1 species
UAAGAAAAUGUGUGUGUGUCUUUGGAU